GGGCCUUUAGCUCAGCUGGUUAGAGCGCACGCCUGAUAAGUGUGAGGUCUCUGGUUCGAAUCCAGAAAGGCCCACCA
rnacentral:tRNA from 1 species